UGAAAUACAAUGAAAAAAAAGGUAACAGACUCUUCAAGUUACUCGGCCCCAAUCCACCGGUAUCCAGGCCGCCGGUUAAGUGAAGACAAUUGUUGAAGAAGCACCACUUUAAAGAUUAAACAGAAACUAGAAACAGAACUUCUUUAGAUCUCACAAGGCAAGUAUGAACAAUCAAUGCAAAAUCCAAGAAAAAUUUAGAAUGUGUAAUACAACCGUAUGAACGAAAACGGCUUCCGGGGAGGAUGUUAGGUGUGACAAAACAAGGAAGGGGAAGAGGUCGCCGGCCGAAUUUGAAAAAGAGAAGAAAGAGAAAUAGAAAGGAGGAGAGAGGGUAGGAGAAGGAGAGACAAAAAUAGGUAUCAAUAUUUACUACAAGACCUAAAUUCUUUUAACAAAAUCAUAAAUACACUGACCAUUCGUGAUAUUGAGGCACGAAAACAGAAACAUUGCACAUGCCAUUACUUAGUGCGAAUAUAAAUUUUGAUGGAAGAUUUUUUCAAAAAAAAUUCAUUUUUUUUUUGAAAUCUGUAUUUGUUCAUGAAAUUUUGGAAGAUGCAUUUUGAAUUUGAAAAAUUGAAAAAUUAUAAAAAGCUAUUUUUCAAAAUUUUUUCAGUCAAAUCACUCACAAAACUUCGAAAAUUAACCAAACUGAAGUUUAUGUCCAAACACAACUCUAAAUUUCAAAUAACAUCUAAAAAAAAAUUCACCAUUUUUUCGAAUUUUACCUUUUUUAUGUUCAAACGCCUACUUAGGCGUCUGGCAAUUUCAGUGAAAGUGAAGAGCAAGAUCCGGAGCCCAACACUGUUCCAUAAGCAUUCUCCACUCCGUGUCGCAGAAGCUCGGCAUAUGUGGUCUCAAGGGUUCAGAUAUUUCCUGGAAGAUCUUUACUGAAGGAGCAAGCUGGUCUACUACUUGAGGAGCUCUGGGCAGAGUGUCAGAGAUGGCAGAGGAUAAGCUAUUAUUGGAGAUAGUGGAAGUGGACACGAUAAAAUUGCUGCACUCUGCUGCAAAAGCAGGCGGGAGAUUACUUGUCAGUAUUUUUGUGUACGUCAGCUUUUCUUCAGGACCUUUGUCUUGGCUUGGUAUUAACCCCGCGUUAGGC